UACGGGGGGAGCGAACGUUGUUCGGAAUCACUGGGCGUAAAGGGCGUGUAGGCGGCUGAAUAAGUGGGAUGUUAAAUCCCCCGGCUCAACCGGGGACCUGCAUCUCAUACUGUUCAGCUCGAGCACAUCAGAGGAGACUGGAAUUCCCGGUGUAGCAGUGAAAUGCGUAGAUAUGUGGAGGAACACCAAUGGCGAAGGCAGCCCCCUGGGUCAACACUGACGCUCAUGCACGAAAGCGUGGGGAGCAAACAGG
rnacentral:rRNA from 1 species